rnacentral:rRNA from 1 species
AGAGUUUGAUCCUGGCUCAGGAUGAACGCUGGCGGCGUGCCUAAUACAUGCAAGUCGAGCGAACAGAUAAGGAGCUUGCUCCUUUGAAGUUAGCGGCGGACGGGUGAGUAACACGUGGGUAACCUACCUAUAAGACUGGGAUAACUUCGGGAAACCGGAGCUAAUACCGGAUAACAUUUAGAACCGCAUGGUUCUAAAGUGAAAGAUGGUUUUGCUAUCACUUAUAGAUGGACCCGCGCCGUAUUAGCUAGUUGGUAAGGUAACGGCUUACCAAGGCGACGAUACGUAGCCGACCUGAGAGGGUGAUCGGCCACACUGGAACUGAGACACGGUCCAGACUCCUACGGGAGGCAGCAGUAGGGAAUCUUCCGCAAUGGGCGAAAGCCUGACGGAGCAACGCCGCGUGAGUGAUGAAGGGUUUCGGCUCGUAAAACUCUGUUAUUAGGGAAGAACAAAUGUGUAAGUAACUGUGCACAUCCUGACGGUACCUAAUCAGAAAGCCACGGCUAACUACGUG